GGAAGGGGCCUGCAUUCUGGUACAUCAGGCUGUAGGCACAGACAGCACCCUGCUUGUGACUUCACUGGACCUCUUGAGCAGGACCAGGGGCUAGUGGAGCAGGAGUGGAUCCAGGUUGGCCACCCUUUCCAGCUGCGCUGUGCCCAUUCCACCUUCUCCCAUGCCUGCCUCAAGCACGAGGCAUCAUCCACCUUUCUCCUCUUCCCGGACUGCGUGUGGCAACUGGGCCGCCGGUUCCCACUGUGACUGGAGUUUGGGGAAGGGCUACUGUUGGCACUGUUUGAGUGCACCUAUGCCUCCCCUUUUGGCACCUUCCUCUGCAACAGUGAAAAGGGGAGUGCCCAAUAUAAGAUCUGACUGUAAAUGUUUGCAAGAAAAAGGAGAAAAGUUAUCACUGUUCCAGAGUGGCUGUCACCCUACUAACCAGGGCUGCCCACCCAGACUCCCAGAGGGCAUACCUGGGGCUGGAAA